GUUCUCUACUUUAUGUUCUCUACUUUAUGUUUUAAACUUUCUGUUUUAAACUUUCUGUUCUCUACUUUCUGUUCUCUACUUUCUGUUUUAAACUUUCUGUUCUCUACUUUAUGUUUUAAACUUUCUGUUUUUUAUUUUUUUUUUUAUUUUUUUUGUAUUAUACUUUUAUGAUAUGUAUAUUGGUCUAUUACAUUAUCUGCUUCUAUACAUAUACAUAUGUAUGUACACGCAUGUAUAUGUCGUAUAUUACUUACACUUAGACGAAAUCAAUUUUGUAUGUAACACUUUUUAUUUUUAAAAAAGAGAAAAAAAAAAAAAAAAAAAAAAAAAAAAACUUUAUAUAUAUGUAUGAUAAGAGUGUUUAUACACUCAUGUAUAAGUUUUUAAUCUUCACUUAAAAUCGAACACGUUUUAUUGUAUUUAUUUUUGUAUAAUCACAAGUAUACUUACAUUUGCAUGGGUAUAUGCACAUUCGUAUAUAUAUAUAUAUAUAUAUAUAUAUAUAUAUAUAUAUAUAUGUAACAAUACAAUUUAUUUUUGUACAUGUAUUGUCUCUACCAUAUAAGUGCCAACUAAAAUGUGUAUAUUUUCUGUUCUCCUGUUUUUUCCUGCAAGUUAAAUAUAUAUGUUAUAUAUUAUAGCACCAAAAAGAAAAAGAUAAAAAAAAGGGAUAAAGAAAAAAAAAAAAAAAAAAACUAAACUAAACUAAACUGAAAACUGCUUAUUUUUAUAUUAAUAACAAUCUUGUAUUUGUUUAUGCGUACAUGUACGUACGUGUUGAUACAAUACAAUUUUUAAAAUGAUGGCAUGAUUUUUAUAUAGUGCGUUUUAAUUGUGUUUACACAUAUGAACUUAUGUACAUAAAUAUGUACAUAUAUAUAUAUAUAUAUAUAUAUAUAUAUAUGCACCUACGUAUGCACUUACGUAUGAUUUUUUUUUUAUUUUUUUAUUCUAGAUUCUUCCAUAUUGAAUAUUAUUCAAUUAGAACUAGGUUUUUAUAAAAAAAAAAAAAAAAAAAAACGAACAAUUAUACUUUUUAUUUUUUCUUAUCUUCGUAUCUUUUUCAUUUUAUUUCUAACAUUAUUAUAUACAUACGUAAAUACACUAAAGAUUAAAGGUUAAAAAAAAAAAAAAAAAAAAAAAAAAAAGAGACAGUACAUAUAGUACUUAUAUAUGUUGUCUUUAUUUUUACAAUUUUUCUCUUUUUGAAAAAUACGUUUAUUAGAACAAAACCACGCUUCAUUAUAAACCAGUACUCAAGAUUGUACUAUCUGGAACUGUUUUUUUUUUUU
rnacentral:lncRNA from 1 species